rnacentral:other from 1 species
UCAGGGCUGCCUGGUGCGCCAGGAGCCAUAUUGCUCGGGGCCUUACGGUCUCCUAGGGAGCUGUCCCUGCCUCGGCCCGUGGGCUGGGGCAUCACGGCGCCCACCUACUUAUGUAGGUUCCCGGGGAUCUCCGCUCCAGCGGCCAAGGCGGCCCUACC